rnacentral:tRNA from 1 species
GCCUCUUUAGCUUAGUGGUAGAGCGUUGCACUCGUAUCAUGCAAAGGUCACCGGUUCAACUCCGGUAGGAGGCA